UUCGGGGGAAAGAAUUUCGGUGAGGGAUCGGCCCGCGUUAGAUUAGUUAGUUGGUGGGGUAAUGGCCUACCAAGACUACGAUCUAUAGCUGGUUUGAGAGGAUGAUCAGCAACACUGGGACUGAGACACGGCCCAGACUCCUACGGGAGGCAGCAGUGGGGAAUCUUAGACAAUGGGGGCAACCCUGAUCUAGCGAUGCCGCGUGAGUGAUGAAGGCCUUAGGGUCGUAAAGCUCUUUCGCCUGUGAUGAUAAUGACAGUAGCAGGUAAAGAAACCCCGGCUAACUCCGUGCCAGCAGCCGCGGUAAUACGGAGGGGGUUAGCGUUGUUCGGAAUUACUGGGCGUAAAGCGCACGUAGGCGGAUUAGUCAGUCAGAGGUGAAAUCCCAGGGCUCAACCCUGGAACUGCCUUUGAUACUGCUAGUCUUGAGUUCGAGAGAGGUAAGUGGAAUUCCGAGUGUAGAGGUGAAAUUCGUAGAUAUUCGGAGGAACACCAGUGGCGAAGGCGGCUUACUGGCUCGAUACUGACGCUGAGGUGCGAAAGUGUGGGGAGCAAACAGGAUUAGAUACCCUGGU
rnacentral:rRNA from 1 species